rnacentral:rRNA from 1 species
GCAUAUCAAUAAGCGGAGGAAAAGAAACCAACAGGGAUUGCCCCAGUAACGGCGAGUGAAGCGGCAACAGCUCAAAUUUGAAAUCUGGCUUCGGCCCGAGUUGUAAUUUGUAGAGGAUGCUUUUGGUGAGGUGCCUUCUGAGUUCCCUGGAACGGGACGCCAGAGAGGGUGAGAGCCCCGUAUAGUUGGACACCGAGCCUCUGUAAAGCUCCUUCGACGAGUCGAGUAGUUUGGGAAUGCUGCUCAAAAUGGGAGGUAUAUCUCUUCUAAAGCUAAAUACUGGCCAGAGACCGAUAGCGCACAAGUAGAGUGAUCGAAAGAUGAAAAGCACUUUGAAAAGAGGGUUAAAUAGUACGUGAAAUUGUUGAAAGGGAAGCGCUUGUGACCAGACUUGUGCCCGGCUGAUCAUCCAGUGUUCUCACUGGUGCACUUC